rnacentral:lncRNA from 1 species
AGGCCAGAAGCAUCCCACGAAACACUUGAAUUAUGGACAGAGGUUUCCAGCAGGCAGUUUGAGUGCUGCCAUUUCUCUCCAUAACUGAGAAAAGCUUGAACAGGAAGGGUGGGGAUUGCUUCCAGCAAGCAUCACAGCUGGUCUGGUGCUGACAGCGUUUUCCUAGGAGUGAGAUAGGAGAUAAGGUUUUUAACCGCCUCAGGCUGAGAAGGGCAGACCCUCCUGGUAGUUCUAGGGAGCUACUUUUUCAUGAGUAAAGCUGAUUUUCUCCAUGGGAUUCUUCCAGUGGCCUGCUUCUCAGACUGUACUAUGGAGAGAGCUUAUACGCCUCUUGUAGGUGCUUGGGCUCUUUUUCCCACUGCCAGUCUCCACUUUCAGGUGGAUAAGGAGUGAGCCCUAAAUGUUAUCAAUCAAAACCCAGGUGCCUACGGAUGUGGAUACCCUUUGAAAUAAUAUGCUAUCAGGAUAAAUAAGGACACUUCCAUUUCUC